rnacentral:lncRNA from 1 species
CAGCGGCAAGUCGUGAUGAAUGGUUGUGGCACUACCGUCUUGGACAUUUGAAUUUUCGAGAUCUCAACGUGUUGCAAAAGUAUGAGAUGAUGACUGGACUGCCUAGUAUCAAUAUUCCAGCUGAGAUAUGUGAAGAGUGUAUACAAGGGAAGCAACACAAGAAUAGUUUCAGCAAAGAUGCAGGUCAUAGGACUAAACAUCAGCUUGAGGUGGUGUAUUCCAUGUGUGCGGACCAAUGCAAGUCAGUUCGUAUGGAGGUAAUCGAUAUUUUGCCACAUUUAUCGAUGAUUUUAGUAGGAAGCUUUGGAUUUAUCUCAUAAAGAGGAAGGAUGAGGUGUUUGAGGUGUUUAAACUAUUUAAAUCCAUGGUUGAGCGGCAAAGCGGUCACAAACUCAAAAUUCUCAAAACUGAUGGCGGGGGCGAAUUUACUUCGAGAGAAUUUGGGAAGUAUUGUGAUGAUGAGGGUAUAGUGCGUGAGGUUGUACCAUCCUAUACGCCUCAGCAAAAUGGCGUGGCCGAGAGGAAAAAUCGGACAAUUAUGAACAUGGUGCGUAGCAUGUUGAAAUGGAAGAAUUUGCCGAAAGAGCUUUGGGGAGAAGCUGUUGCUACAGCCGCCUAUGUGUUGAAUAGGUGUCCUACAAAGAAGCUGGAAAAAGUGACUCCAGAAGAGGUAUGGUCUGGAUUCAAACCGAAUUUGAGUCAUUUACGCGUUUUCGGUUCGGUAGCAUUUCGACAUAUUCCGGGACAGCUUCGAAAGAAGCUUGAUGACAAGAGUGAAAUGAUGUUGCUUGUCAGAUAUCAUCCUACCGGAGGCUACAAGUUGUUUGAUGUGAGUAGCAAGAAGAUCGUAAUUAGUCGAGAUGUGAUCGUGGAUGAGAUAUGGCAGUUUGACAGCAGAAAAACUGCCAUAUCAGCUCAGGAAAUCGAUUUGCCAAUCGAUUUAUGCCACAAAAAUCAACAUCCUGGAGCUACUGGUGAAGUGGCAAUCGAUUUGCCAAUCGAUUUCUGCCACAAAAAUCGACAUCCUGGAGCUACAGGAGAAGUGUCAAUCGAUUUUCUGCAGAAAAAUCAGAAUUUUGCUUCUGGGGGGUGGAAAUCGAUUUACCAAUCGAUUGUCAGCUCGAUUGUCAGCAGAAAAAUCAACAUUUUGGAGCCUCUGAAGAGCUGGAAAUCGAUUUGCCAAUCGAUUUUCUGCAGGAAAAUCAGAAUUUUCAGCCUGCUGAAGGUGCUNNNNNNNNNNNNNNNNNNNNNNNNNNNNNNNNNNNNNNNNNNNNNNNNNNNNNNNNNNNNNNNNNNNNNNNNNNNNNNNNNNNNNNNNNNNNNNNNNNNNNNNNNNNNNNNNNNNNNNNNNNNNNNNNNNNNNNNNNNNNNNNNNNNNNNNNNNNNNNNNNNNNNNNNNNNNNNNNNNNNNNNNNNNNNNNNNNNNNNNNNNNNNNNNNNNNNNNNNNNNNNNNNNNNNNNNNNNNNNNNNNNNNNNNNNNNNNNNNNNNNNNNNNNNNNNNNNNNNNNNNNNUGACAUGGGCAAAAGUUGCGAAUUACUCGGAUACACCGACUCCAAUUGGUGCAAAGAUAAGGACGAUCGGAAAUCAACGGCCGGUUAUGUUUUUAUGUUCGGAGGGGCACCAAUCUCUUGGUGUUCUAAAAAGGAGCCGGUGGUUGCUCUCUCUUUCUGCAAGGCGGAGUAUAUCGCAACUUCGUUAUGUGCAUGCCAAGUUGUGUGGCUAGUGAACCUGUUGCGUGAGCUGGACAGCAACACGAGAGGAGUUGUUUUGUUGUUGAUGGACAAUGUUUCAGCCAUCAACCUUGCUAAGAAUCCCAUAGCACAUGGGAGGAGCAAGCAUAUUGAGAUGAGGUUUCAUUAUUUGAGGGAACUAGUGAGUUCCGGACAGUUAUUUUUGGGGUAUUGCAAAAGCGAAGAACAAGUUGCAGAUCUGUUUACGAAAGGCGUUACGAAUGAGGUUUUCAACAAACUUGUGAUGAAGCUAGGCAUGAAGAAUGUAGAGCAUUUGAAUUAAGGUGGUGUAUAGGAAGUUAAAUAUAAUUCAAAUGUUGUUUUGGGCCAAAAUUAAUUUGGUUCCACAUUGUACCCCAUAUAAAUACUUUUGUGUGUAUAGUUUUAAAGACUAAUGCCAUUUUGAUAUACUGAUGAAAAAAUCAGAAAAUAACUCUCUUCCAUAAUCUCUCUCUUUUCUCCAUCAUUUUCUAAAACACCACAAUUUUCAAUUAUCAAUUUUCACCAUUAAUUCACCCUCCAUUUUUGAUAGUGUUCCAACAUUUUUUACCUGCAGUUUUUUAUUUGAACUAAAUAACUAUUUCUUAAAUAAAAUAAAAAUAUCAAAUUUUAAAUACGAAUCAUUAUAACUUUCAUAGUAAAUUUUGUUCUCUUAUGGAGAAUAGAUAAAUUUAUUUAUACCUUCACUUGUAGAUAUCUUAAAAGUUUAAAAUAAAAUAAUUGGACUGUCUUUGUGUCCUGAUGAAAUCUUCCAUGAGAACUACAAAAUUGGUAUAUGAGUCUCUUUGUGGUAUCGGUACAAUAAAUUCAAGAUUUUGAAUAGCAAAUAGCAUUAUUACAUAACGAGUUUAUUGAAGGAAAACUAAAUUCGGAUAGCAAAUAAUAUGUACAUAGGAGAAUAAUAAAUUAGAGCGCAAAGGGCUUAUAGGUCUUGAGUUCAGAGAUAAUUCCUUCAAUUGAUCCAACUCCAGCAACAAGAGUGACAAUCAAACAAAACCCACUAAGCGAUUUCAUUCCAAUCCACAUAGGAGAAUAUUUUGUCACUUUAGAUUGUACAAGGUACAUCUCCGUUGGAAAGUACACUGUCAAAGGAAAGAACGACAUUGCUCCUAACAAACCCACAAUGCUGUUGAAAAAUGGAAAUAUCAUAGCAAACAAUGUUGUGAAUAUCACAUACAAUGUUCUCCAUAUCAACCUAAACAUAUUCAUUCUCCAUAUCCCAACCAAUGGAAUUUUUACAUAAUAUUCUUUUGUCAUUAACUUGCUUUCUGGCCAACGUUUACUACCCCAACUUUCCACUAAACUAAAUACUGGUUGUGCAAAUACCUGUACAUAUACACAGUAAAUAAAUAUAUUUUUAAUAGAGACCAAAAUUAAAUUUAAAUUUUUUAUAGAGACCAAAAUGUUCAUUUAGCAACAAUUUUGUCCACAAAAUAAUAAUUUACCUGAUAAGCUCCCACAAGAUGAAUAACGAUGAAAAUAUUACCAAUAUCAACUAGCCAAAAUGGUUCAUAAAAGCCAAAUCCUGUUAAGAAGUUUCCUGGUGCCUUGUUUCCAAAUGCUUCAUAUCCUAGAAGACCACAUAAUGCAUAAAAGAAUGUGGUCACUGUGAUUCCAGUGAAGACAGAUUUUUUCAUGGCUUGAUUCUCUGGUGGCCUUGAUUGUAAUGUGUCCUGUAUUCAAACAAAAUUGAAAUCAAAUUCUUAUACUAAAAAACAAUGAGAAUUCACAUAUGUAAUUAAGCACUUGGUUUGCUUAAAAUUAUUACUUGCCUGUAUCUCAACAAUGACCGUACUGAAAGCAUAUGCAAAAGCUAUGUCUCCAAUUGCUUGAAAGGUAUUCCAAUACUUCUGAGAACUUGUUUCAUCCACUCCAACAACAAGCCCUGUUAGCCCUGUCUCCACAUGGUGUCCUGGUUCUGUAUAUUCCAACAACAAAACAAAUCAAAAUAUUCAAUACUAUCUCAUUGAUUGGAGAAACUGAACUCACAUUGUUAGGUAUGUUAAGAAAAAAAUAUGUGUAUGUAAAUGAGGGAAUGUCCAUAUUCUAUAUAUUAUAAGAGACUAUAAAAACUGUUAAUUGAUUGGUAGGUUAACACAAAAUAGUAAAUAAAGUAGAUUAAACAAAUGGUAUAUUUGAAAAGAAAAUAUGUUAAACCAAAACAUCAUAUCAUUUUAUAGAUAGGUAAAGGUAUUUUAAAAAUUCAGCAAUUCAUUGAAUAUAAAAGGAUAUAAUUGUAAAUAAAAUAGUUACUUCCUCCGUUUCAUUUUAAUUGUUAUAUUUGAAUUGUUUGCAAUUCUUAAAAUAAUAAUUAAUUUAAAUUAUUUCAAUGAUAAUAUAAAUAUUAUUUACUCAUAUAUUCUUAUUUCUUGUAGUUAAUAAAGAAGUUUGAUUAGUUAAGAAAAAUAAAUAAAAAUAUAAAAGUAAAAAAAAUAAUUGUAUUUUAUUAAUACUAUAAAAUGAUUAAUAAUUUGAGAUAAAAAAGGUAAAACUAUGAAACAUUAUUUAAAAUGACAAGGAUGUAGUAUAUUAAAAUAUGUAUGUCAUCCAUACUUAUAUACUCUAUAGAUGUAUGUGUCAUAUAAGCAUAUUUUUUAGGGACUUUAUAUACAUAUCAUCUUUUUUUUUUAAAAAAAAACUAAUCAAUAUAUUUCACAUUGAUCACAUUUCUGAGAUAUAUAUAUAUAUAUAUGUAUACAAAAUCCUAUCUUUGAGUGCAAUUUAUCCUUAAUUUUUUAUUUAAUAAGUAAGAGCUAUUAUGCCUAACCUGCAAUUUUGGCUAUGGAGAGACCAAUGCCUAUGGAAGCAUAACCAAAAGACAUGACGGCUGCAUUGAUCACAUUUCGGGGAUAUAUAUAUAUAUAUACAAAAUCCUAUCUUUGAGUGCAAUUUAUCCUUAAUUUUUUAUUUAAUAAGUAAGAGCUAUUAUGCCUAACCUGCAAUUUUGGCUAUGGAGAGACCAAUGCCUAUGGAAGCAUAACCAAAAGACAUGACGGCAGCAACAAAAGAGAGCCAUGAAAGUUCAUGGAAAUCUGGAAUUUGGCUUAGUAAAAUCUCUGAAACCCCAAAUAUUGCCAUAAAUGGAUAAUUUGAUGUUUUGCAGUUUGCUUCAUGCCCAUACUUAUGAAAGCAAUUGGAUUUUUUGAUGGCCCUGUUUUACAAACAAAAAAUUAUUAUUAUUAUUAUUAUUAUUAUUAUUAUUAUUAUUAUUAUUGUUAUUAGUUACAUUUUUGCUUGAGUAUUAUUAUAUGAAAAUAUUUCAUUUAUAUUCUCAUAUAAUAUAACUUUAUAAAUUUGAAUUUCUAUUUUUACAUUCACAUAGUCAAAUACCGUGGUUGUUUGAUUGGACAUUCUAGAUGUAAUUUUGGUAUUUUAAUUAAUAAAAAUAAAAAUCCAUUUUAAAUUGUAUUUUUUGAGAUCUUUUAAUUGGACAAUUGUUGAUGUUCCAACUUUGUAAAUGUAAGAUUUCACUAAUUGAAUCUAAUUUCUCAUAAAUUCAGUCAAGAUUUUUGUUGAAUAACUAAAUUAUUUAUGUGCUUACAACAUAAGCAUUUAUUAAAUAAAUGCAACAAUUUUCUAUUUAUCUAACAAAAGAUAAUCAAUUGAAACCAAUUUUAUAUGACCUAUAAAUUGGAUUUUAUAUAGUAUACCAAAAAAUUUAUGAAAAUAAAAUGAAAAUAUAUUAACAACAUGUUAUAAACUUUUUUCUUAACCUCACUAAAACAAUCUUAACCUCACUAAAAUAAAUCAAUUUAAACAAUUAUAUGAAAUAUUUAAUAGGUUCUUACACCAUGCUGAUGGAUGCCGUGAGAGUGUAACCAAUGGUACAACCUAUAAGAUUUGUGUACUGAGCCAAUCCACAAAACAUGUACUGAGUUCCUCCUGUAGAAAAAAAGAGAUAGAAAGGUUACAAACAAUACCACAUUCAAAUAAGAUAAGUGUGGUCUGUUUUAUGUGCAUUGCGAGUUAUUGUAAGGUCAAAUUAAAUAAAUAAUAAAUAAAUAUUAAAAAAAUUAUAGACUAUCCAAUAUUUUUAAAUCGAAAAUUAUAUAAUUAUUUUAGAAUACGUCAUUCUAUAUAAGAUAUUACAUUUUUUCUUUGACUCAAUUCAAGAUAUGACUAUAAUGUUGACUCCUCAACAUAUAAGAAAUCAAAUUUGGUCAUUCUAUACAAAUUGACAAUAGUACCAUCUGAACUUUUUUUACAUAAUAAACACCCAAAUAUAUGACUAGAAAUUAAAACAUUAAAAAAAAAACUUGGGUAUUUUUUUACUAAUAUUACCUAGAAUAUUUUUGACCAUACCCAUAUAGGUAUGGUUUCUGGUUCCAUGAACAGGAUCAGGAUACCUAUAACAAUCAGCUAGAAGAAAAGAAGUGAGGAGAGUGAUGAGAGAGAAAAGAAUGAGAACAAUUGAGCCAGCAAUCCAUCCUAAUUGUGCAAUAGCCCAUGCCAAUGAUAACACUCCAGAUCCUAUUACAGCUGUCACUAUGUGUGCACUUCCUGUUACCCAUGUUCCUUCAUUUUCAUACAAAAUUAUUAAUGUUAAAUUAAAAACAAUGAAAAACAAAUAUCAAUAUAUUAGAUGCAUAAUUUUGAGUAUUCUAACCUGUACGUUUUAGGCGACCAUCAUCAUCGUAUUUACCAUCAUUAAUUGGCAAGCUACUACUGUGCAUCAUGACUCUCUCUUUCUCUCUGAUUAUUUUUUAAAAUUCUUAUCAAAUAGACAGUACCUAUUUGAAGAAAAGAAUUAUGGAAUAUGUUGAACCAAAUUUGGCACUUAUUUAAUGCUCUGAUUUGAAUAGAUUUGCAUUUUUUUAUAGAGAAUCUACCAAAACAGUAUUUAGAUAUUUUUUAUUUUUUUUAUACUUCCCUCGAAUCUAACCUCUUCUAUUAAAUCCAAUCUGAUUGAUGUAUUUAUAUGUUUUUUUCAAUUCUAUUUUCUCUUCACAGACUAUAAAAAAAAUGUUCAAGUUUGACUUUUUGAAUCCUGCAAUUUAUUAGAUGCCUAAUCCGUUGCUUGUUCAAUCGGAUGCUUUUUAACCGAUAUGAGAUUAAGUUAUAAAUGUUAAAUAAAAUAAUUUUCCAUACACAAAAAGUAAUUUACAUUUCAAUUGUUUACCAAAAGUAUGUUAUCCUUUUCAAAAAUAAAAUAAAAUAAUCAAAAUUUAAUAUACGCUAUUUUUUUUAUCUCAAAUUAGUGUAAAAAGUUUUACAAUAUUAAUAUAUUACAAUUAUUCAAAUAAAUGACUUUAAAAGUAAAUUUUUUUAAAUUAAAUAUUUUUAAUGAUUUAACAAUUAUGAUCGAUUAACAAAGUCAAAAUUAUUUAUAAUAAAAAUGUAAAUAAAUUAAAUCCCUCAUGUUCAAUAUCAACACAAGUUAUAAAUAAAAAAGAAUUAAAAAAUGUUGCAAUUUACAAAAUCAUCUUUAAUAAUUAUUGUCAUUAUAAACAUAUAUAACUCCUGUCUCUAAAUAUAAAACUCUCUUCAUGAUUUUAUUUGUCUUUUUCUUUUUAUAAGACUCUCUUGAAUUUAUAAAAACAUUUAUUAUUUUUUUACUAACAUAAUUUUCCUAAAUUUACAUUUUUUUUACGAUCAAAAUAAAAUGCUAUAACAAAGUCAUUAAAAUUCUCUUUGAUUAUUAAAAUUUAGGACCUAUGGUUUGGCCAAAGGUCCUUAUACUUAGGGUAUAAACCAAACAAAAACAUCUAUUUAUACUAUAAACAAUUCAGUCUUAUUGCACAGUAUAUCAUAAAUAUUUCCUUGCACUAUAGUCCUCUUCAGAUAAUGUCAUUUAAUACGUAUAAUUUUAAAAUAAUACAACAUUUCUUUUUAUUAUAAAUAAAAUUUAUAUUUUAAUAUCUUAAAAUUGAAGGUGUUCGUAUGAAACAGAAAUUAUUUAUUUUAUAAUAUAUAUUUAUUUUAACCAUAAAUAAUACUUAUAUGAAAAUUAAAUAUUAUUUUAAUAUGAAUAUUUAAGUAAAAAAUAUCUUAAAAAGGAAUAUUUUUGUAGUCAUAUAAAACAUUUAUUGUUCUAUAAAUGUAUUUAUGUGAGAAAAAUGAUUAAAAACAAUGUAUUUGACUAGGUGUAAAAAAUAUUUUUUUCCAUAUAAAAUAUUUAUAUUAGAAAAAUCCUUAAGAACACUGUUUUUGACUAAGCAUUAAAAAAAAUCUGCAAUGUUGUUUAAUAAUUAGUAUAAAAUAUUAAUGAAUAUUAAAAUAAUAAAAAUAACUUUUUUCCAAUUUUUAAAUAUAAAAAUAGUUAAAAUAUUUUUAAUACAUAUCUUAUCUAAUCAUAAAUAACAAUUUGCUUUCAAUUAGGAAUGGCAAAAAAAUCCGCACCUGCAGAUAUCCACUCAAAUCCAUUUGAUUUGGGCAGGGAAAACCCGCUUUUAUUGAGUGCGGGUGCGGAUUUUCCCCGAAAUUAAAUUUCGGGUGCGGGUGAUGAUAUCCACCCCGCACCCGCACCCGAACCCGCUCCGCAAGUAAUAUUAUAGUAAUUUUUAAAUUUUCUAUAAAUAUACAUAUUAAAUAUAUUUAAUAUUUUUUUAAAUAUUAAAAAUUAUAUUCUUAUAUUUAUAGAAAAUAAUUUUUUAUGUUAUUAUUAUUAUUUAAUAACAAUUAUUUUAUUAUAUUAAUUAUAAUAGAUAUGAUUUUUUAAGUUUAUAAUUUUAUAUAUAUAAAUGGAUGCAGGUGUGGACGGGAAACCUGAAACCCGUUGUGGGCGGAGAUGAAUGUCUAAAUUUUACACCCACUGUAAAACGGGUGCAGAUGCGGAUUUUCUUCCGAUUAGUCGGAUGCGAGGGUGGAAGAAGAAAAAUCCGCCUCCAACCCGUCCUGUUGCCAUGCUACUUUCAAUCAAUUAAAAGCUGCAACCCUAUUAAGACAAAAACAAAAAAACAAAAAACAAAAAACAAAACAAAAAACUAUAACCUUAAUAGUACUGAUUAUUCACAAUUUCAUUAAUAAAUUGCAGGUAUAUUAUAAUACAAUUACAAUAAUGUCACCUCCGGGAACCAACAACAACAAAAAAGCAAUUCUUAUUCUGAAAUGUAAGGAUGUCCAUCGAAAAAUAUUAAUUUUACAUUUAGCGUCAUGAUAUGUUUAUACAUUAUUUUCAAUAGAUUUUUAUAAUAUAUUAAAAUAUAUAAUAUUAAUCAACGGUGUUUUAAAUAUGAAUCGAAUAAAACGAAAUCGUGGUAAUAAACAUGGAAAUAAAAGACCAACAAAUUCGUUAAACAUUCGUAAUUUAAUGUUUUAAAAUUUUAUAUAUGUGAUAUUGUAAUGCUCAAGUGAAUUAAGAAAAUAGUAUUCACUUCUUUGUUGAUUAGUGACCAUCAACUGUUGAUUAGUGAUCAUCAACGAUACUUCUUUUCAAAAUUUACUUCAAACCAAAAAAAGCUAACAAAAUUCAAAUUUAAAUUUUUUUCUCUAUAUUUCAUUGUUAUGAGUUGUUAUAGUACUCUCAAAAAUUAUAAAAGUUCCAUUAACUUUAAAAGUAAAAAAAAUUGUGAAUAUGACUCAAACACACAUUUUGAUUAUUUUUUUACGACAUUCUAUAAUAUUAUACUUUAAUUGUUUUACUACAAUUAUGAUUUGAUCUUUUACAAUAAAUAUUAUUUUUUGAAAUAUUAGAUUUAGUUUAAAAAAUUAUAAAUUUUUUUUUAAAUAAAACCAAAAUUUUAAAUCUAUAUACAUAUUUGUAUAUUCUUUUUUAAAUAUUUUAAUACAACGAAUAGUUAUAUAAACUAGAUAGUUUUGUACAUAUUCUAUAAAGACAAUUUUAUAAUAUAUUAUCUUUAAAUAUUACUAUUGAUUACAAAUUAUAUAAGAGAAUAAUUAGUAUAAUAUUAGACCAUCUUAUGUUAUUAUUUUUACAUAAAUCUUAUUUUAAGAUUGUAUUGAAUUAACUGAACUUUUAAAUAACUAGGCUAUUUUGUAUUUUAAGGAUAUUUUAAUUUCAACGAUUAAAGAUAAUUAUUUAUUAAAAAAAAACGUAUAAUAGAUGUAAAAGUAUUGUACGAUGUUAGGUUGAACGUUUUGUCUAAGUUCAAUCUGAGACCUCGUAUUGUGUUAGUUAAGGUUAAAUUACAUUUGUGAUCCCUUAACUUAAUUUCAGGUAACGUUUUAGUCUCUUAUCUUUUUUUUCUCCCGAUUUAGUCCUUUAUUCCUAAUAAUAUCAAAUAAAGUAUGAAAAUAUGAAUUUAUUUGAAGAUUUGCGUUACGGAUUUGAUGAAAUUUGUAUUAUAUUGAAGAAUAUAAUUAAUUUGAUGAGUUUUGAUUGAAUUUUUAAAAAAAAAAAAAAAAAAAAAAAAAAAAAAAAAAAAAAAAAAAAAAAAAAAAAAAAAAAAAAAAAAAAAAAAAAAAAAAAAAAAAAAAAAAAAAAAAAGAUAAAGGAUUAAAACGUUACCUGAAAUUAAGUUAAGGGACCACUGAUGUAAUUUAGCCGUUAGUUAAUUGUGGUAGAAUUUAUAAUCUUUUAUAAGAAAAAAAAAAAGUAUUGUACAUGUAAACUAAUAUAAUAUAUUAUAAUAUCAUUUGCUUUAUAAAUUAUUAUUUUUUAAAUUAUAUUAAAAUUAAUUAUUAAUUUAAAACUUAAUAUUAUAUAUAUAAUAGAUAACAUAUCUCUUGCAACGCACGAAGGCAUCUUCUAUCAAUGAAUUAGAUACAAACGUUUUUAUUUGAAAGACAAGAUUGGAUAAACAUGCGAUAGGAGGAGCAUGAUAGAGUGAUGAUAUGCUAUGGAUCAUGUCAUAUAUUACACAUAAUAAAUUUGACAAAAUUAGUUUAUCAUAUUUGAUGUUUGAUACAAAAAGAUUAUUUUAACAUAUUUUACAUUAAGGAUUAAAAAAUAAGACCCAGUAGAAUAUGUUUAAAAAAUAUGAUUACUCAAUAUAUCAUAUGGAUGAUAAAUGUAUUAUAUCUUGUCUAAUAUCCCAGUUUAACAUUAAAUAAUUGGUAGUAAUUAUUUUAAGUUUUAUUAUAAUUUGUAAAAUAAAUAAAUAAAAACAAAUAAAGAAAGAAAAGAACGGAAAAGAAAGGGUGAGAUGCAGACAAAAACAAAGGAGAGAAAGAAAAAUGUGAAAGAGAGAAAAAGAAAGUGAGGGGAAGAAGAAGAGAAGGAGAAAGAAAAAAAAAACAAAAAAACAAAACAUUGACAAAACAAGAAGAAAAGAAAGGAAUAGUGUUUUUUUUUUUUGCUACAAGUCACGGUAGAAAGAGUUGAAAUUAUCACUAUCUUCUCAAUUAAUUUGAAAAUCAAGAGGUGGGUUUCCCUUUUUCUAUUUUCCUUCGUGCAUGUAUAAGAUAAUGUUUACCAUAGGUUAGAAAUUUGGGAUUUAAGGGUUUGAAAUGAAGACAAUAAUUUUUAUUUUUGGUUAGAUUUAGUGGUUUUGAAAUAGAUGGUUAAAAUAGUUUAUACAUGUGAAGUUCUAUGAUUAAAAUUGAGAAUAGAAUAUUGUAUAAUUGAGUUUCCUUGAUGACAUGAAAAUAUACUUUUUUGAUGUGUUUGAAAUUAAAGACCUUGAAUUUCACUAUUGUGAAAAAUUAGUUUGAGUAAAUUACAUUUGUGAUGUUGUUUUGAUAUAUUAAUUGCUUGAUUUAUUCAUGAUCUGUAGCAUUAGUGUUUGCAAAGAUUCAUUCGGAAAUUAGUGUGGUUGAAUGAGUGUUUUUAAUUUAAAAUUCGCAUGACAUAUGUGUGUGAUGUUUUGAUCAUAACAUUUUCGGUAUACCUUAGUUUUGAAUGAUUGUUAGUUUUAAGGAAAUUAGACUCAAUUACAUUUAAUUUGAGUGCAAACUUUGUAAUGUUUGAUUGAAUAUUGAUGCUUAAAAAUGAGUUACAAAUUAGACCAGAGUUGAUGUCCUAUUUUUCUGACCUCAUGUAUUAUUUUGCUUUCUUUUGAAGGAUUAGUAUGUGCAUUAAUACAUUUGCAUGAUUUUGUAUAUGGAUUUGUAUUAACUAACUCUUUUGUCGAAUUAUGCUAACGUUCAAGUUAUAUUCUAGAUAAUUAAUGUACGGUGUUAUAUUUUUUGAUAAGUUAUAUAUAUAUAUAUAUAAAUAUAUAUAUAUAUAUAUAUAUAUAUAUAGAGGACAGCAUAUCCCCUCUUAGACCAAAUUAUCGGUUCAAAUAAUGGUUCAAUUAAAAAUAUGCAUGUGAUCCACUAUUUGUAAUCAUUUGUACAAUCAACGAAUUUAUUCACCCUAUAUGUAAUCUCUCAUUUAUAAUUAUAUGUACAAUCAAUAAUUGAGAAUAUUCACAAACAUUUUAUUUUACUUAUUUUGUAUAUACCACCUAUUAAUUAUAAUAUCAUCUAUUUAAAAAAUAUAUUAAAAGACUACCACACAUUCAACUUUAAAAAUUCUUAUGAUAACAUACAUUAUUAAGUCAAUUAUAUCAUACUAAUCAUAUAAUGUAAAAUGAAAAUCAAGAGAAUAUGCUAAUGAUAGAUUUUUCCCAAAACAACCCAAAAUUUAUGUUAUAACAACACAAAACUGAGUUUAACUGCAGAGUCAACUGACAGAAACUUAUAAGCAUCGUAAUUGAGUAAAGGAGCACUCUUUGAAAAGCAUAUGAUGUCUAGUUUAUAGACAAAAUUUUAUUUUAUUUAAGCCCCCAAUUAUUGCAAUUUAUCAAAACAAUACACAAAGUCAGAAAAAUAGGACAACAACUAUAGUCUAACUUAUAACCCAUUGUUGUGCAUCAAUACUCAAUCAAACAUCACAAAGUUUGUAUUCAAAUUGAAGGUAAAUGAGUCUAAUUUCCAGAAAACUAACAAUCAUUCAGAACUAAGGUCUAGAGAAAAAGUUAUGACUAGAAUAUCACACAUAUGUCCUACAAAUUUGAAGUUAACAACACACAUUCAAUCACACUAAUUUCCUAAUGAAUCUUUGCAAACACUAAUGCUACAAAUUAUAAAUAAAUCUAACAAUGAAUAUAUCAAAACAACAUCACUAAUGUCAAAUCAAGCAAUGAAAAUAUCAAAACAGCAUCACAAAUGUCAAUUUACUCAAACUAAUUUAUCACAAUAGUGAAAUUCAAGGUUUUUAAUUUCAAACACAUCAAAUAGUAUAUUUUCAUGUCAUCAAGGAAACUCAAUUCUAUAAUAAUAUAUUCUCAAUUUCAAUCGUAGAACUUCAUAUCCAUAAAUUAUUUUAACCAUCUAUUUCAAAAUCCUAAAUCUAACCAAAAAUAAAAAUAUAAAUCAUUUUCUUCAUUUCAAACCCUUAAACUCCAAAUCUUCAACAUAUGGUAAACAUUAUCUCAUACAUGUACGAAGGAAAAAUAGAAAAAGGAAAGCAUACAUCUUGAUUUUCAAAUUAAUUGAGAAGAUGAUAAUAAUAUCAACUUUUUCUACUUAGACUUCUAGAAGAAAAAAAAAACUCUUCCUUUCUCUUCUCCUUGUUUUGUCAAUUAUUUUAUUUAUUUAUUUAUUUACAAAUUAUUAUUAUUAUAUAUAUAUAAUAUAAAAUAAUAAUUAUUAAUUAUUUAGUUAAAGAGGAAUGUUACAUUUUAUCUCCUUAUUUGGUCAUCAAAUUGACGUUAAACGAUCUAAAAUUAUCAAAUUUUCAUCCCGAUUAACUGUCUUCAUACAAUUGACCGCAAUUUUAAUUAACGUAGAUAUUAUUAGUAACAAUCAAUAAUAAAAUCAAUAAUAGUAAGAAAACUGAUAUAUUCUAAAUAAAUUAUGUUAGUUCUUUUUCCAUCUACCUCAUAUGGUGGUGGAGUUAAAAACAUUCGAUUCACUACUAUUAAUUACUUGAUCGGUUUAGUCAACUAAAAAAAAGUUUACUUGAUCGGUUGCAUUACUUAUCUGACCCUUUCACCUUAUAAAUCAAAUAAUAGAUCUAUUUGUUUCAGUUUGUUAAAAGAUGAUUUUAUAGUAUUUUAUAUUUUUAUUAUAAGUUUUUUAUCAUUAAUAUAUAAUUUUUUAUAAUAAAAUUUCAAAAAAUUAUUAAAAUAAAAAGUUUUUUUGUUAAAUUCUUCAUAUAAAUCAUUUUUAAGAUAUAUUUUUUUAAAAUGUUAUUUUUUUAUGUUAAUUUUUUUAAUAGAGUAUCUAACUUAUUAAAUGUUAAUUUUUUUUAAAUAAAUAACAAAUGACUUUUAAUGUCCUUAAAUAAAUUCUCAUAAAAAUAAAUUUUAGAAAUAUAAAGAUAAAACCACUUUUAAGAAAAUAUAAAACAAAUGGCCCAGUAUAAUUUAGCAAUCUUUUAAUAGCUAUUAUUUUGAGUUUCGAUUUUUUUUUUAAAAUACUGAAAAUAAUAUUGGGUUGAGUCGUGAACUAUGUUGCUCUCUUUAAGACGUUUUGCGGCAUUGCUCAAAUUGUGUAAGGCAGACUAUCAAUUGCGAAAUCUCUAGGAUAAAAUAGCUCAGAUCCACUCUAUCGGAGUUCUACUGCACCGUAGAAAAUCGUUAAAGAAUUACACCAUUAAUAUGACAGUUAAAUGACUGUCGCCCAUAAUAUGGUAUUAUGACAACUCGAAUGAAAAAGAAGAAGUGAGAAAGAAAGGGGAUAAGUAGAGAAAAGUCUCAAAUGCUGACACGUACGCUACAAUCAUCUUUAGGUUUUUACCACAUAAAUGUGCGCUCGAAUCUGAUGAGUCGAACCGGACGGCGGCACGCGCAUGUGUGGUGGUCAAUUUUGCAUGCGCUCUUCCUCCUUCACAAAUUUGAGGUACCCCUUGGGGCACACCCCAAGUUUCAUACCUCUAUUUUAUAAACAUUACUAGUGUGUGUUAUCACUCAUAUGUGGGACUUCCUUAUUUUUAAAUUCACACCACACUAGCUCUCAUUAAUAGCAUCCUUAUCUCCAACAAUCGUCUAUUAAUAUCAUCAUCAUUUCCAACAAUCUCCCACUUCAAUUUAAAAUUAAGCUCUCUGAAAUAGCGUCAAACGCUUCUAUAAGAUCUUGCAUAAACAAAUGUGUCUCUUGACUUGAACCUUUGCAUAGUAAGUAAGAUUCAUAUUCAACAAGAGUGACUCAUAGUCAUGAACUUUAUCUCUGACAUCAAACUCACACACAACAUUUUCAUACAGUGAAUUCUCAAAAGCUUGUGCAUUAACGGCCCUGCACGUUUACCCCUGUAUAAAGAAUGCUUUAGGAAUUCUACCUCAAAUUUUUAUAGGAAGCGGUCCCACUUCCACAUUCACAUAGGUGAGUCUAUCAAGAGUACUCAUGUAGCUAGAUACUUCACUCCACAUAAAGUAUGUCAAUGUAUGAAUUUAAAAAAAAAAUAUUUUCAUAGAAGUCAACAUCAUUUGACUUUAUGAUCACUUUCGCAUUUAGGUAAUAAAACUUAUACGCUCUGCGGUUUACUGCAUAUCCAACAAAUAUACAUUCAUAGACUUUAGUGGCAAGUUUAAUUCGCUUGGAAUCAGAUAUUCUUACAAAGCCGGACAUUUAUAAGUUUGAAAAUAAGACAAGUUCAGUUGUCUUUUCUUCACUAUCUCAUAAAGAGAUAUUUUGUUUUUAGAUUUAGAUUUAGAAACUCUAUUCAAAAUAUAGCAAAUAAAGAAUAUAUUUUUCGCACACCAAUGAGAUACAGCACCAAAGUUAAGCAUAUUAGCAACAACUAGAUUAGUAAGAGUUUUUUUUUUCCAACUUUACCAUUCAUUUCAUGUGAAUAUGGUGCAGUAUUUUCAUGUAUAAUUCCUUGCGUUUUAUAAAACUCAUUAAAUAAACUAGAAUCAUACUUUGUUCCUCUAUCACUACGAAACCUUUUAAUCAUUUUACUAAAUUGAUUUUCAAUUUCAGUUACAAAUAUAUUAAACAUGUCGAGUGCAUCACUUUUAUUUUUCAUUAGAUAUACAAAAAUAUAGUGAGAGCAAUCGUCAAUAAAAGUGAUGAAAUAACGUUUUUCAUUUCUGAUAAACGUCCCAUCAAAUUCACAUAUAUAAGAGUGUUUGAAGUUUAAAGGUUCAGAUUCUUUAACUAUUGAUAUAUGCGAACUCUUAGUUAUUUUAGCUUGACUGCAAAAAUCACAUUUUUUUUAAACCAUGCAUUAUUGAGAAGAAACCCAUAAACCACAAAUCUGCUUCAAAAAUCACAUUUUUUAAACCCCGACUUAUUGAAAAGAAACUCAGAAAUCAUAUUCUUCCUCAUUUCUGGAGUGUGUUGACAUCCUUCAGAAAUAAGGUUUUUCUGGAGGUGAAUAUUAUGUGUUCUUCCUCUUGCACAAAAUUUGAGUACCACUUAGAAGUUGCAUACCUCCAUCUUAUAAACGUGUUAUCAUGUAAGAUUUUCUUAUUUUUUCAAUUCACACCGACACUAGCUAUCAUUAAUAUGUAACAUCAUUAUUUCCAACAAUCUUCUUUUAAUAUCGUCAUCGUUUCUAACAAUAUUCUAUUAAUAUCAUCAUUUUCAACAAUAACAAAUAAAGACUAAAUCGAAUUACAUUGAUUCAGAAUUUGUAAUCUUUUUAUAGCAAACAAUUGAAUCGGUGCAAAUAAAAAUACUGAAGAAUUGAAAUAAUUGAAUCGGUACAAACAAAAAUACAGGGGAAUUGAAUAAUUCAAUCGAUGCAAACAAAAAAUGAAAAGGAAAUUGUUACGGUGAAAAUAAAUGAUCGCAAAUUUUUAUGUAUUAUAAAUUAUUGUUGCUACAAGUAUAUUCCUCUUGGAAACCUUUUUACUUGCUACAAAAUUUAGUACCAACAGUGUACUUCAACCAUACUCUCUGUAGCAAUCAUUUUAUUUCUAUUAACAUGCAUAGAUAUAUAUAUCAAUUAAUCUGUAUAGUUUCAAUAUGAGUCAAAUAUAAUCUUUAAAAUAAUGUUUUGAUUUUUUAGCCUAAUAGUUUGUAAUGUCUUUAUUAACAUUUUAACUAUUUUCUUUAUUAAUAAAGGGACACAAUAGGUAAGCAAUUUCACAAAUCUAAAUAUAAUUCUAAUAUCGACAACGAUGAAUUGACAUUGGUUAAAUGACUGUUUUAUCCAUAAAAAUGAAAAAUAUAAUGAACUAUCCGAAAAGUAAGUAGCAUUUGUCCGCGGGAUCACCGUCACAGUGCUUUGUAGAACUGACCCUAAACCUAUUGUAUUUGAAAUUCCCGAAUUUACCCCCAACUCCAAAUCACCUUGCCACCUCAUGGUGAGGGAAUACAUAGGACCCUCACCCUAGAAGCUUAAUUUUAAGCGCCAACACAAUAACAAAAGCUGCUUCAUUAAUUUUGAGAUAAAACGGAAGAAAUCGCAAACGUGCAUUACUUCACCAAAUCCAAUCACAUUAGUUGCAAAACUAGCGGCAUGAGAGAAACUGUCUCAACUUUUUAUAUACUUAAUUAUUAGUUAUUAAUCCAAUCUAGUUUAUUAGGUCGAAUUUAUUUUGUUAAAUUUAUAUUUCUUAUAUUUUGUAAUUAUGUUUCUAGAUCCAUAUAUAUAUAUAUAUAUAUAUUGAUUGUUUUCUUUAAUAAUAAGACAAGUAACCAAUUUUGCCUACUUUAUGUAACACAGUAUCAACUUUUUAUUUUCUUUUUUCUUUUUUCAUUAUCUUCAAUGGAGGAGUUUUCUUCUACCGUUAGUUCCACAACCAAAAUUAUGUUGUUGAAUGCAAACAUAAACAUAUUCUUAAUGUUGCUAGGUUGUUUUUGUUUCAUUCUAAUUUACUCAAGUAUCUUUGGUCCUAUGUUAUUAGUCAUGUUGUGUUUCUUAUUAAGAGGUUAGCCACACCUAUCUUGGGUAAUAAAUCUCCUUUUGAGAUCUUUCAUGGUAAGCAUCCUGUUUUAAUUAAUCUUAAUGUUUUUGGUAGCUUCUCAACUUUGACUAAUCACCGUGGUAAGCUUGAUCCAAGGGUAUUUAAGUGUGUGUUACUUGGAUAUAAAAAUGGCACAAAAGGUUACAUUGUUCUUGACAUUAAUUCAAGACAAAUUCUUAUUUCUAAGAAUGUCAUUUUUCAUAAAAGUAUCUAUUAUAUAUAUUUAAAACAGACCCCGAAUGCCACCUCACCGCCGAAUGCCACCUCAUUCUAUUUCAUCCACCUAUACAAAUAUUUCCCACAUCACUCAAAAAGCUGAUGUGGACCUCUCCUCUUUUCUCCUCUCUCAAACAUGCUCUCAAUGUCUAAUAAUAAUAUUAUUUAUAAUUUAUAAAUAAUAAAAUUAUUUUACAAUUAUUUAUAACAAAUUUAUAAUUUAUAAAUUAUUUUACAAUUUGAUAAUAAUUUAUAAUCUAUAUUAUUAUCAAAUUAUUUUAUAAGUUAUUUUAUAAUAAAUUUAUAAAUUAUUUUAUAAUAUUAUUAGUCAUUUACCAAUGGUAAUAAUUUAUAAUAAAUUUAUAAAUUAUAAAAUUAUUUUACAAUUAUUUAUAAUAAAUUUAUAAUUUAUAAAUUAUUUUACAAUUUGAUAAUAAUUUAUAAUUUAUAUUAUUAUCAAAUUAUUUUAUAAGUUAUUUUAUAAUAGAUUUAUAAAUGACUAAAAUUAUAAAAUAUUCUUAUAAAUUACAAUAUUUUGUGAAACUCUUCAUGUGUCAGAAGUUAUAAAUUACAAUAAAAUAAAUAUCAAUUAUUUGAUGUUUUACAAUAAAAUAAAUAUAAAUUACAAUUUAUAAAAAAUAAUCAUAAAAUAAGAAUAUAUGAAAAAUUAUUAAAAAAAUUACUUCCAAUUAUUAAAAUACAGAAAUUUAUUUAAAAUUAUAAUAUAUGAAUAUAUUAAAAAAUAUAAUCAACAAAAGUUUACUAUAUAUAUGUGUUUUGAAAAAAUAUGUUAACACUUAAUUUUUAUCAAUUAAAUUAUAUAUUUAUAAUUGAAUGCUAUUUUUUAUUUUAAUUUUUCUUAUUAUAAUGAUAAUUUGAAUGUUAAAAAAUAAAUGAAAAUUUAAGUAGUGCAUAAAAUUAAAUUAUUUUUUAAUAAAAUUUAUUAUUGGUACAUAUUAACAUAACUACAAUUUCAUAAUAAUUUAUAAUCUAUAUUAUUAUCAAAUUACUUUAUAAGUUAUUUUAUAAUAAAUUUAUAAAUUAUUUUAUAAUAUUAUUAGUCAUUUACCAAUGGUAAUAAUUUAUAAUAAAUUUAUAAAUUAUAAAAUUAUUUUACAAUUAUUUAUAAUAAANNNNNNNNNNNNNNNNNNNNNNNNNNNNNNNNNNNNNNNNNNNNNNNNNNNNNNNNNNNNNNNNNNNNNNNNNNNNNNNNNNNNNNNNNNNNNNNNNNNNNNNNNNNNNNNNNNNNNNNNNNNNNNNNNNNNNNNNNNNNNNNNNNNNNNNNNNNNNNNNNNNNNNNNNNNNNNNNNNNNNNNNNNNNNNNNNNNNNNNNNNNNNNNNNNNNNNNNNNNNNNNNNNNNNNNNNNNNNNNNNNNNNNNNNNNNNNNNNNNNNNNNNNNNNNNNNNNNNNNNNNNNNNNNNNNNNNNNNNNNNNNNNNNNNNNNNNNNNNNNNNNNNNNNNNNNNNNNNNNNNNNNNNNNNNNNNNNNNNNNNNNNNNNNNNNNNNNNNNNNNNNNNNNNNNNNNNNNNNNNNNNNNNNNNNNNNNNNNNNNNNNNNNNNNNNNNNNNNNNNNNNNNNNNNNNNNNNNNNNNNNNNNNNNNNNNNNNNNNNNNNNNNNNNNNNNNNNNNNNNNNNNNNNNNNNNNNNNNNNNNNNNNNNNNNNNNNNNNNNNNNNNNNNNNNNNNNNNNNNNNNNNNNNNNNNNNNNNNNNNNNNNNNNNNNNNNNNNNNNNNNNNUAUUUUGUGAAACUCUUCAUGUGUCAUAAGUUAUAAAUUACAAUAAAAUAAAUAUCAAUUAUUUGACACUCAUUGCUCCUCCAUUAUUAUUGAUAACGGUUAUUCAUCCAUAAACAUCUUCAAAUUAAAUAUUACAUAGUAUCAUUACUGGAAAAAAAUAUUUUUUAAUGAAAUCUAUAAUAUCUACAAAAUAUAUCACAUGUCACUUAUUAGAUAAGUAAAAUUAAUAUUUAAAUCAAAUAGAGAGAUAUAAUUUAGAGUUAGGCCAACAAUUUGUUUUUAUAUUUUUUUUUAUUAUACUCAUUACUGAUAUGGACUUAGAGAAAAAUUUAUAUAUUAAUAUUGUCACAUCAAAAGAAAUCUGAUGUAACAUAUCUAACAAAUAUUCUUCCUCUUUCUUAUUAUCAUACUUGCAAUUUAUUUUUUAUUACAUUUUUUUAAUAUAAUAUUUGGUAGAACUAUUCAUAUGUCAUAAGUUACAAAUUACAAUACAAUAAAUAUCAUUUAUCAGUUAUUCGACAUUCAUUGUUACUCCAUCAUUACUCAUAACGGUUCUUCCUCCAUCAUUAAUGAUAACGGUUCUUCUCUUUCUAUGGUUUUAACUACCGAUUAAUAUAUUGCUUCAUUUUAAAGGUUUCUCCAUCUCUUCCUCCAUCAUUACAUGUUUUCAAACUUUUUUCUUUUAGAUAAAAAUUUAUUAAAAUAGACUCCCACAUAAACAUCAUAUAUAUUAAAAUAGACUCCUACAUCUUCAUCAAAUAUUGUGCCACCUAAAAGGGCUCAUGUGGUACAUCUAAAAGUUCUGUCAUGAGAAAACAUUCUGCAUAUGUAAGUUUUUACAACUUCACUUUAUCAACUCAAAAGAAAAUCUCUUUGGAACCCAAUUAUUUUCAAAGAAGUAGAUAUAGUUGGAAAAUUCUUUUUUUUUUACACAACUUUUGAAUGAGUUGUAUUUUGUAACAUAUUAUACCUAUUUGCUCAUUUUUCUCAAAAUCUUGAUUGUUCUUAGUUAGAGUAUUGUUUUUGCAGACAUAUUUUAACUCAUUUAUGACAUGAAAGUGUAUUGGCUCCUCAAAAGACAAAGAAGAUUGUCCACAUUCAGCUUUAUAUGAGUGUUAGUAUUGUGUAUUCGAGAGAAAACUAUGUACCAUUUAUAUUAAAAAAGUAUUUGUGGUUUUUUUACGGAGAUGUUUUAUAUUGUCAAUUUUUUUUAAAAUACUACCAAUUUUAAGUUUCUACAUAUGUUUUACCUUUACUCAACCGUACAUACGAGUUGUUUGUGAAAAUUCUCAAAUCAUGUUGUAUAGAAGUCUCAUACUUACAAUAUUGGAAUUUAAAUUUUUUACUUCUUUGACAUGAUUGUAAUGAAAUGAAUAUUAAAUGACAAACUCAUUUUUAUAAUUUUCUAACAAUAUUUUGACAAUAAAUUUAGAUUUGACAACAAAAAAAGAGCAUGAUUAAUUUGAUUUUGUGGUAGAUAAUUACAUAUAUUAAUAUUUAUUAAAAUACUUUUAAGACUUUUAACACUAAAUAUAAUUUAUGAAUUUUAUUUGUAGGAUGAUCUUUACUAUGCAAAACAUUUUACAUAUUUUCAAACGUGUAUUUGCCAACUCAUAUAUAAUAAUUACUCAAAUAAAUUCACUUGAAAAAAAUACUCUACAAACUAAAUGUGAUUAAAUUCACAACUACUAAUAUGAUGAAGUAUACAUAUUCCGCGCAACGCGCGGGUUAUAUUCUAGUUUUUCCUUAUUCUAAUAUUUCUCCAAAAUCAGUUUCAAUUGAUAUAUCUCGUGAUACCUUCAAUUUUGACUACAACUUUCUAUUUCCUUCAGAACAUUUACCUUUUGUCAUUCAAAUAUUCCAUAUGCUAUACCUUGUGCCACUCACAAUGAUGUCGGUCCAAUUGGCACUUUGUCUGCCUCGAAAAAUUAUGAUAAGCAUCAUCUCACUUCCAGUUAUGUCCCUAAGGACCCAUCUGAUCUUGUUGGACCUUGCAAAUCUCAACGACAAUGUAAACCACUUUCCCAUCUCCUUGAUUAUGAUUGUCCAACAGUUAAGGCUCCUACUUCGUCACAAAAUUUAGGUAUUUUGUAUCCUUUGUCAUUUGUCCUUUAAUAUCAAAACAUGUCUCUUCACCAUUAAUCUUUCAUUCUCGCUAUCUCUUCAAAUGAUGAGCCCACCUCUUAUACUCAGGCUUCCAAAAUCUGUUGUUGGAUUGAAACAAUGGAUGUUGAAUUGGCUGUCCUCCAAGACCAUAAUACUUGGAUCUUUGUUUCUCUACCUCCUGGAAAAAACUCUCAUUGGAUGUAAAUGAAUGUUUAAAACAAAGUACAGAUUUGAUGGUUCCAUUGAACGUCACAAGACAUGUCUCGUAGCAAAAGGGUAUUGACAAAUUGAAUGGGUUAGUUUUCUUUACACAUUCAGUCCAGUGGCGAAGUUAGCUAUUGUUCGACUUGUCUUAGCUAUUGCUGCUUCUCAAGAUUGGCAUCUCCAACAAUUGAACGUCAACAACGUCUUUCUUCAUGGCGAUUUGGAUGAAGAAGUCUACAUGACACCUCCCCUGGGUCUUAAAUUCAAUGCUCCCAAUCAAGUUUAUCGUCUCAUUAAAUCUAUUUAUGGCCUCAAGCAAGCUAGCUGCCAAUGAUUUUCUAAGCUUCCAACCUUCCUUGUCACCCACGAGUACUCAGAGUCCCAAAGUGAUCAUUCUCUUUUCACCAAGCAAUCUGCCAAGUCCUUCAUUGUCAUACUCAUAUAAAUGGAUGAUCUUAUCCAUUUUGGUAAUGAUCUUGCUAAAAUCUCUACAAUCAAAUACAAUCUUGACAUCUCUUUUAAAAUUAAGGACCUGGGUUCCCUUAAAUAUUUUCUUGGCCUUGAAAUCGCAAGAACAAAAUCUGGUAUUUUCAUUUCCCAACAUAAAUACACCCUUGAUUUGCUCACUGAUGUUGGUCUCCUGGCUACCAAACUUGUUUCGACACCAAUGAGCAGACCUUCCAUCAUCCACUAUGAUGAACCAGUUUCUAAUAUUACAACAUAUCUUCGUCUCAUUGGUCAUCUAAUUUACCUCACCACAACUCGUUCAGAUAUCACUUAUGUUGUCCAACAACUUAGUCAGCACAUGUCUUCUCCUUUAACCUCACAUCAUCAUGCAGCCAUACGGGUUCUACGCUACUUGAAGAAUCUUGGGCAAGGUUUGUUUUUCUCUGCAAAAUCUUCUCUUCAACUCAAAGUUUUUAGUGAGUCUGAUUGGGCCUCUUGUCUCUUAACUCGAUGGUGAGUUACCGGUUACUGUAUCUUUCUUGGUGACUCACUCAUUUGUUAGCGUUCAAAGAAGCAAACGAAUGUAUCGCGUCCGUCCUCUAAAGUCGAGUACAGAGCACUUUUUGCCAUUGUUUGUGAGCUAUAGUGGUUAACUUAUCUCAUUUGUGAUUUCUAGGUUUCCCUCAAAACCCCUGCAAUAUUAUUUUGUAACAGUAAAUCUGUCUGCAAAACAUUAUAAUCCAAGUUAUUUCAUCUCCUACCUAUUUCCUCCUCCGAGCAGCUUGCCAAGUUAUUUCAUCUCCUGCGCCGACGUAUUCACAGUACCUCUUGAUCCUCAAGAGAUCAUGUGCUUAUUGUCCACACUAGGAGUUCUUGACAUACACUCUCCAAUUUGUGGGGGCAUUAUAUACUUAAUUAUUAUUUAUUAGUCAAAUCUAAUUUAUUAAACCCAAUUUAUUUUGUUAAGUUCAUAUUUCUUAUAUUUUGUAAUUCUAUUUCUAGAUCCAUAUAUAUAUACUUUGAUUGUUUCCUUCGAUAAUAAGACAAGUAACCAAUUUAACCUACCUUAUCUUCAUCUUUGUAAGACAACUUCAAAUAGCAGAAAAAUAAAGUGCCAAGAGUAAACAAUAAUAACAUAAAGCUUUCUAACAAUAGAGAAGAUGUGAUAGCAUUUCAUUGAAAAGUAGAAUAACACGCUUGUUUAGGUCUGCACCAACACAAUUUUAAGAAACAACCGAGCAUAUGAACAAUACAUCCAAAGGAGCAACAAACCACAAAGAACACCAACAAAAUACGCCCAUGAAAACAAGAAUCUGAAAUAGAUUCUAGUAGUCGUCCAUAUCAUCUUCACCACCCUCGCCAGACUCAGCACCCACUUCUUCAUAAUCCUUUUCCAGAGCAGCAAGAUCUUCACGAGCUUCAGAAAACUCUCCUUCUUCCAUACCCUCACCCACAUACCAGUGGACAAAAGCACGCUUAGCAUACAUGAGAUCAAACUUGUGGUCAAUGCGACCAAACACCUCAGCUACACUUGUGGAGUUUGAAAUCAUGCAAACAGCUCUCUGUACCUUAGCAAGGUCACCUCCAGGAACAACGGUAGGUGGCUGAUAGUUAAUACCACACUUGAAACCAGUAGGGCACCAGUCUACAAACUGAAUGGUUCUCUUGGUUUUGAUGGUUGCAACAGCAGCAUUUACGUCUUUGGGAACAACAUCACCACGGUACAUCAAACAGCAUGCCAUGUACUUUCCAUGGCGAGGAUCACACUUGGCCAUCAUAGAUGAUGGCUCAAAAGCACUGUUGGUAAUUUCAGCAACUGAAAGCUGUUC